rnacentral:rRNA from 1 species
GGGGAAUUUUCCGCAAUGGGCGAAAGCCUGACGGAGCAAUACCGCGUGAGGGAGGAAGGCUCUUGGGUUGUAAACCUCUUUUCUCAGGGAAGAAAAAAUGACGGUACCUGAGGAAUAAGCAUCGGCUAACUCCGUGCCAGCAGCCGCGGUAAUACGGAGGAUGCAAGCGUUAUCCGGAAUGAUUGGGCGUAAAGCGUCCGCAGGUGGCAUUGAAAGUCUGCUGUUAAAGAGUCUGGCUCAACCAGAUAAAGGCAGUGGAAACUACAAAGCUAGAGUGCGUUCGGGGUAGAGGGAAUUCCUGGUGUAGCGGUGAAAUGCGUAGAGAUCAGGAAGAACACCGGUGGCGAAGGCGCUCUACUAGGCCGCAACUGACACUGAGGGACGAAAGCUAGGGGAGCGAAAGGGAUUAGAUACCCCUGUAGUC